GUGAAUUGAUAUCCCAUAAAUUGUGAUAAUUCCGUAUUCUUGAAUUUCUGUAAGAGUUUUUCUAUACAUAUUAAAUUGACAAUUAUGCUAGAAUGUCUUUAUGAACUGCUACCUUUCUAAAUUUGAGCCCAAAAUAUUUGAUUGGUUAUUUUUGAAAUGUUAUUAAAAGUGAAUGUUAUUAAUGGUUUCAGUGAGAUUCAUAUUAAUGAUUUGAGUGAUACGUUGAGUACAUGAUAUUGCUGCUUUCGAAUGUUUAAAGAGAUUUAUAAAUACUUUAAGUAUGCAAGUGGACUCAUCCGGUUCGUCGGUGAGGUAUAAGUGGACCUAUCUGGGUCGGUAGGGAUUAAGUGGACUCAUCCGAUACACCGGUGAGGUAUAAGCGGACCUGCAAGGAUUAAGUGGACCUAUUUGGGACGCCGAUAGGGAUUAAGUGGACCUAUCAGGACGCUGAUGGGGUAUAUAGGUGACCUACUUGGGACGCCAAUAAGGUAUUUUGUGAAAUCUUUUUAAUUAUGCAUUGACGCUAAAAUGUGAUAUGUAUUUCAAUUAUUCGGAUUAUAUUUAAUUAUGCAUUUUUGAAAGUGAAAUUGUUAAUGCAUUCCUGUUAAUAGAUCUCCUUUUUGAAAAUAUUGAUAUCUUUCAAUCAUGAUUAUUUUUAGGAGUAUGAUGAUCACUUACUGAGUAGCCAAACUCAUCAAAUUAUGGUAAACAUUUUUUCAGAAUAAGUGCGGAUUCAUUUUGAGUGCUAAUCGGGAUCAACCUUGGAAGAUAUUGUUGUUGUGCUAACUUUUUUUUGUUACCUUGUAAGAAUUCGC
rnacentral:lncRNA from 1 species